UACGUAGGGGGCAAGCGUUGUCCGGAAUCAUUGGGCGUAAAGCGCGUGUAGGCGGCCAGGUAAGUCCGUUCUGAAAGCCCGGGGCUCAACCCCGGGAGGCGGAUGGAUACUGCUUGGCUCGAGUCCGGAAGAGGCGAGUGGAAUUCCCGGUGUAGCGGUGAAAUGCGCAGAUAUCGGGAGGAACACCAAUGGCGAAGGCAGCUCGCUGGGACGGUACUGACGCUGAGACGCGAAAGCGUGGGGGAGCAAACAGGG
rnacentral:rRNA from 1 species